GAUGAACGCUGGCGGCGUGCCUAAUACAUGCAAGUCGAGCGAACAGACGAGGAGCUUGCUCCUUUGACGUUAGCGGCGGACGGGUGAGUAACACGUGGAUAACCUACCUAUAAGACUGGGAUAACUUCGGGAAACCGGAGCUAAUACCGGAUAACAUGUUGAACCGCAUGGUUCAACAGUGAAAGACGGUCUUGCUGUCACUUAUAGAUGGAUCCGCGCCGCAUUAGCUAGUUGGUAAGGUAACAGCUUACCAAGGCAACGAUGCGUAGCCGACCUGAGAGGGUGAUCGGCCACACUGGAACUGAGACACGGUCCAGACUCCUACGGGAGGCAGCAGUAGGGAAUCUUCCGCAAUGGGCGAAAGCCUGACGGAGCAACGCCGCGUGAGUGAAGAAGGUCUUCGGAUCGUAAAACUCUGUUAUUAGGGAAGAACAAAUGUGUAAGUAACUAUGCACGUCUUGACGGUACCUAAUCAGAAAGCCACGGCUAACUACGUG
rnacentral:rRNA from 1 species